UUUAGUUGUUGAAUGCUCCUCGUGGCGUAGAAGAUCAAGGCGACUAGAACCGUUUGCACAGACAAUUCCGCACAAUUUUUUUCUUCCUUUUUUAGGGGUAUAGGUCUUUAUUCAUCAACAGAGUUAUAAGAGUUACAAACGUCUUGAGGCAGAUUUAAGAGCCAAACUUGCCUGCCAAACUCAGCAUAAAUCGCACUUCUUGCGAUGGUGUGAGCAUCCACAUUGGAGCAUCUGUUUUCAUGAACAAAAUCAGCAGUGCAAAACUGCACUGCUGUAGCCUUUAUCUUCCUGAUGAUAUGGCCAUGAGUAGCCAUUUCUCCCUCCUUGAUUCCUUUGAUAACAUUAAUAUUGUCCGAGGCUAGCCUGAAGUGUUGAACUAUGAGUUCAUUCACCAACGCCAGGCCUUCC
rnacentral:lncRNA from 1 species